GCUGUAGCUCAGUUGGUAGAGCCCCGGAUUGUGACUCCGGUGGUCGUGGGUUCAAAUCCCAUCAG
rnacentral:tRNA from 1 species